GCAAGUCGAGCGGAAACGAGAAUAGCUUGCUACCAGAUGUCGAGCGGCGGACGGGUGAGUAACGCGUAGGAAUCUACCUAGUAGUGGGGGAUAGCCAUUGGAAACGAUGAUUAAUACCGCAUACGCCCCACGGGGGAAAGGAGGGGACUCAUUUAUGAGCCUUUCGCUAUUAGAUGAGCCUGCGUAAGAUUAGCUAGAUGGUGGGGUAAUGGCCUACCAUGGCGACGAUCUUUAGCUGGUUUGAGAGGAUGAUC
rnacentral:rRNA from 1 species